UUGGUGUGUUAUUGGUGGUUGGCUCUUUGCUUGUGCAACAACUUCCACCUAGCAUACCUCUUCAGUUGUCAGUUUAGGUUUCCUUUGCCUAAACAAAAUGCGGGUUUCCUGUGUUGCCUGCCUAACGUAUGGUAUUGUCUUGGCUGAUCCAAGUUCUUUUCGUCUUGUGUCGUACGUAUGACAUUAGAUGAACCRUAAAGCUGUCUCUUUGAACCACACCAUGAAUGUGUGUGUUGAUGUAGUGGCAAAUUGAGCAUCGCUUGGUCUCUUUGAUAUGGAACUUGAUGUGGGCAUGGGGUCUCAUUGGAUUCUUGUUAUGUCCUCGUUUAGUCUAUACGCUUCWAUAAAAUGACUGCCUGACCUGCAUUGGCUCGUACCAGCGUGUUGGGUUUUGUCAAAGAAGAAAGUUACCUGGU
rnacentral:misc_RNA from 1 species